rnacentral:rRNA from 1 species
UACGUAUGGUGCGAGCGUUGUCCGGAUUUACUGGGCGUGAAGGGGGCGCAGGCGGCGCGCCAAGCCCGAUGUGAAAGCCCGGGGCUCAACCCCGGGACUGCAUUGGGAACUGGCGUGCUGGAGUGCCGGAGAGGUAGGCGGAAUUCCUAGUGUAGCGGUGAAAUGCGUAGAUAUUAGGAGGAACACCAGUGGCGAAGGCGGCCUACUGGACGGUGACUGACGCUGAGGCUCGAAAGCGUGGGGAGCAAACAGG